UGCUUGUGACAUGGCUACUGUAACUGCGCAAGGUCCUGUUUCUGCUAGGAGUCACGUGGAAGGCCCCUUUAAGUUUCCAUAGAGAGAGGCCCCAUUGUGUCACAUGAUGGACACGAUAUAAUGAAAUAGCAGGAACAGAAAUACGAAGUGCGCGCUGGGCAACCAAACUGUGAGAAACUACUUAUCGUCUACGAAAAUCUCUCACGCGCACUCGCGUCCUCCUGUUUUGAGAUGUGGAACAGGACUGUUGUGAAGCGCACCUAAGUCGCCUCCCUAAACGGAGAUGAUACGCAGCACAGGAUUGCACCUGCCUUUAGGCUUCUUUAGUAUUAUGUAAAAAAAAAAAAAAAAAGAAGAAAGAAAAGAAAUACAAUGGUCAGCUCCAAAGGGGCGUCUUUAUUCCAUUUGAACCGGGAAGCGGAAUCCAUGCCGGGCUCAUAGGCUAAAGGUAAGUGAAGUUAUUUAUAGUAGAUCAUCUAGUUGACUCGCAGCUGGAGCGCUGUGUUUUGUAAGCACAGCAGGUCUGUAGUUAGCUGUCAUGUUUGUUAAAAUUGUUGGCUGUAAGGUGUUUCCUUUCGCAAAUGUAUGUUAAAUACCUCUGACUGGUUUUGUGGCUUAUUCGACCAGGAAUUAAAAUUGCGUCAUAUUUCUGUUGCUAAGAGAAGAUUUCUUGAUCUUAUGCCACAUGUCUGUGACACUAGAGCUUUGCCAAUGUCCGCAUUCCAUCUUAUGUUGCGCAGAUAAAAUUCAAAGUUGACAUAAACAGCGGCGAUGUGUGUCUAAACGCCAUGGUUAGAUUUAGAUGGGUCUAUUUCCGUUUAAACGUUCAGGUUUUUUAAGUGCGCAACUCUGUACAGUUGUUUUACCUCUUCACGCCCCCAAGUGCGUAGUCGCUAUAAUAAUUGGCCUGUUAUUUCACAGGACUCUUUCGUUUUAGAAUGGCUACCAUUGAGAAUGUAAGAACCUGGUCUUGAUCUGGUUGUACCUAAAUGAUUAUUGUCUUUUAAGCUAUUUAAAGAUAAAGCGCCUUUCACAUACUUUGCGUGAUAUUUAUUUAUUUAACCUGUAUGUUUACAAUCGUCAUCACCAUAUAUGAGUUUGGCUAGUUGUAUUUUUUUUUGUAACCUAAUUGCAUUUAGGCUAUUACUUUUAAAGCCGAUUUCUGGCAAGCUAUAGCCCCUGUCCGGAAACGUAGUCCGGCUGCGCUCUUCUCGAGAAAAUCUCAGUUCUUGUUAUCAUACUGUCGCUCAGUCGUUAGACUAUAAAAUGAUGCACCCAAGUAAACGAUAUUUGUGGUGUAUUUCUCGCACUUCACUGACAGUAUGUGGGUUUUGUAGCCUACGUCGACGACUUGAAGUGAUAUUAAGUAGUCUAAUCGCCUAAAGCGUAUGUGGUCUGAUGCUCGACGUGUUGGUUUGCCUUUUGUAGGCUACGAAGUUACAAGUGCUUAGUUCGUAACAUAAUAUUAUCCUAGGCUACUCCUUUACAUGUGCUGAUUAUAUUUUGUGCAUUUAUAAAUAGCUAGUGUAUUCUAGUAAUUUGUCGUUGAUUUUUUAAUUCAGAUAAUGUUGCAAUACGGGCUGAUACAGUGUUAUAGGUGGGGGGCUAUGCUUCCAGUCCAAAUAUUUAUUGCAGUAGUCUAGUUGCGAAAAUGUGCUAAUAACUUGCGACGUCAUCAUAUUCGUUGUGAUUCGGAAAGGUAUGCUACUGAUCGCCAGACAGCUUUUAUAGUGCGGAUGUCGCGCGAGUAAAAUAAAUAUUUCGCUCGACCAUACACUAGUUUUAUUGAGACUACAUUACACCGAAUACAACAGAGAGGAAAUACAAAUGGAUGACCGAUGACCUACUCUGGAAUAAGGGGUCUGGACAGCGUCCUGCCAAGCAUCCAACAAUCCGGACUGGGGGCCUGCCUCUGACUCUCCCAAGAUCCUCCCCUCGCCAUUGGUUGAGAGGAAUUGUUGUGCAAGGAGGAUGAAUCAUCAAAGUCCUACAGGUAAUAAACUUCCUGUAUUUCAAAGGUGCUUGCAGAGAUUACUACUAUAGUCCUGCCAGGGACAUCGUGAUCUCUGUCUCUCUCUUUCUCUCUCUCUCUCACACACACACACACUCUUACUCUCCCACUCUCAAUCUCUCACUCUCUCUCUCACUUUCACUCUCUCUCAAUCUCUCUCACUCUUUCUCUCUCAAUCUCUCACUCUCACUUAUUCACACAUACACACACACACACACACACACAUACACAUAUACACAAACAGGCACACAGACUUUGUCGUGGGCUCAUAAAGCUGAAUGUUUAGUAUAAGCUACAAUAGAUAUGUGCGGAUAACCGUUGAAGUGGCCCGGUUAAAUGAAGCUAAACUGUAGGCAACAUACACUAUGUUAAACACAAUGAGUCAUGUUCUAGUUUCAUUCAUUGGGGGGGGGAGGAGGAGGGAGAGAGAAAGAGAGAGGGAGAGAGAGCGAGUGACAGAGUGACAGAGUAAGAGAGAGAAAAAGCGAGUGACAGUAAGAGAGAGAGAGAGUGAAAAGGAACAAGCAGGCGCGAGUACAGCUCCACAGACUGAGCAUGCUCUACCGCUCGAUUGUCAUUUCCUUCUCUCGUUUUCUGCACCUGUUCUCCAACUCCACCGCGCUGAUGCAGCUGGGCCAACCGGGUCGUGGGACGCAGCGACGGCGUAAGUACUGUGCGUCCCACUGUGUGGAGUUCUCAAAACUGUUUUACUGACAGCGAUGGCUAAAAUGUACAUUUUCUUCCUCCCACUGUAUUAUCACGUUUCUAAAUCUGUGUUGAUUCGCCUGUUUUGACGGUGGUAGUGGUGGAGUUGUAGUCAUCGAGUAUCCUCGAGUGUCAGGCGAGAGCUGCUGUUGCACUUUAGUGCAAAAUGAAACCAAUUUGCUGUCCUUUCGCAAGAAAAAUAAUGAAUUUCUAUAUUGCUUCUGUUACAUUAAGCCAAGAAAUAUAUACUCAGUUGUUUGUUUGUGUGCGUGUGUGUGCGUGCGUGUGCGUGCGUGUGUGUGUGUGUGCGCGUGUGUGCGCGUGCGCGUGUGUGUGGGUGUGUGUGUGUGUGUACGCGCAUGUCAGCCUUUUUCUGGAACUCGUAUCUUUUCCCAAGAAACGGACUGUGGACUUCACUCUCUGGUGUUAUGGUUGUGGGGUCACAGCCUCUUUGAGAAGCUCUAGUGGCCCUUUGUAUCCACAACAGCCAUGUAACUGUAACUGCAUAACAACAGCCAUGUAACUGUAACUGCAUAACAACAGCCGUGUAACUGUAACUGCAUAACAACAGCCAUGUAACUGUAACUGCAUAACAACAGCCAUGUAACUGUAACUGCAUAACAACAGCCGUGUCCACAGAACAUUCACAGAUUGAUGACUGUCGGCUCGUGAGGAGCAGCAAGCUCAACAUGACCGUACCUCUAUACAGGUCAACAUACUGUAAGCUCAUAUAAGCCAACACCAAACCGCUAGCCCAGCACUUAGCAUUAAGACGCAGUGCCACAUUAGCAUAUUCAGGUUCAUUUGUCCUGUAAGACGGUUUUUAUAUGCAGAGGGAGCACCAAGACCCAAAAAAAAAAGCUGUGUGAGAGCAGGGAGCGUACGCUCUCCCCCCGAGCGACACGCGGGACUUCCUGUGGCGGCCCGGCUCAGUUACCGAAAUGACUGGAUUUGGGCGGGCGCUGUUUGAGGCGCGUACGCUCUCCUGGCCCCGGGCCAGCCUCGUGGGGAUUUCAUGUUCUGAUGAGCGCGAUCCGCAGCCUGCACCCCAUUGGUUGAGGCAUGGCUUUCAGGGCCUGUGUUCUCGUGAAAUGGGGGGGGGGUUUUUUCUUUCUUCUUCUUCUUCUUCUGACCGACUCUGUGGCUUGGGUUUUCUGAACCUUUAUUUUGUAACAUCAGUUACAAUCCUAUCAGUUUCCCUCAUCCAUCGUGACUCACUCACAUUUACAUAUUAAUCAUUUCUGCAGUGGUGAAUUUGGGCCGAGAACUUUUUUCGCAACAGCAGUCACCCACAUUUGAAUCAGCGUACAAAACCUCGGUCUUAAAAUGAAACAUGAAAGGGCUACAAAAGUUGAGGGUGCAUAUAUUACAAGCCAGGGUGAGAAAUCUAUGUGCGAAUGAGCUGUAACUUUUUUAAGUGUUCCAGUGAAGUCUGUUUCAGGGGCUUGAGACAUGAAGACUGGCCACUGCCCCAGCUGCUAGCGGUCAGGCGGACCUGGGCCCCGGGCAAAGGAGAUGCGCUGGCCAGAGUUAUCACUGUGGAAAGAGCGCUUGCUUAAGGGUAAGCUUGGUCUGUGGUUGAGCAGUCAGUGGGGCUUGGUGCCAUGGCAACAGGUGCAAUAUUUUGAGGAUACUUACCGGUGAGGUUUUCGAGGAUGGCGGCAGCUGCGGUCCCCUAACUCACUCUCUUACACUGUUCUCUCUCUCUCUCUCUCUCUUCCUCUCUUCCUCUCUAUCACUGUUUCUGUUUCUGUCUCUGUCUCUAUGAGCAACUGCUGUUGUGUUUGAGAAUUGCAGAGAGAGAGAGAGAGAGAGAGAGAGAGAGGAACACACGCAGAUGCAUAGCUGGAGAGAGAGAGAGAGAGAGGAACACACGCAGAUGCAUAGCUGGAGAGAGAUAGAGAGAGAGAAAGAGAGAGA